UCCGAUAUGGUGUAGUGGCUAACAUUAUCGCCUCUCACGCGAUAGCCCGGGGUUCGAUUCCCCGUGUCGCAA
rnacentral:tRNA from 2 species